CCUACGGGGUGCAGCAGUGGGGAAUAUUGGACAAUGGGCGAAAGCCUGAUCCAGCCAUGCCGCGUGUGUGAAGAAGGCCUUCGGGUUGUAAAGCACUUUCAGUGGGGAAGAAAGCCUUGGGGCUAAUACCCUCGAGGAAGGACAUCACCCACAGAAGAAGCACCGGCUAACUCCGUGCCAGCAGCCGCGGUAAUACGGAGGGUGCGAGCGUUAAUCGGAAUUACUGGGCGUAAAGCGCGCGUAGGCGGUCUGAUAAGCCGGUUGUGAAAGCCCCGGGCUCAACCUGGGAACGGCAUCCGGAACGGUCAGGCUAGAGUGCAGGAGAGGGAGGUAGAAUUCCCGGUGUAGCGGUGGAAUGCGUAGAGAUCGGGAGGAAUACCAGUGGCGAAGGCGGCCUUCUGGACUGACACUGACGCUGAGGUGCGAAAGCGUGGGUAGCAAACAGGAUUAGAUACCCCGGUAGUC
rnacentral:rRNA from 1 species